UUUUAAGCCUCAGCCAUACCACACUGCUUAAUCAAGGUUAAAUGCCUGUGUGAACCUAUGUUUUUUACCCCUCUGGCCACGCGGCCCUAAGCCAGGCUGAUCCGGCCUGCCUUCGCCCUCUCUCCACCAGAGACCAGCUGGUGUGGAUGAUUGAGGUGGCCUCUGGAUCGAGGCAGCUGCUGGCUUGCACUCGGAAAUUCAGUCCUCUCCAGAGAGGUCAGAGUCUGCCUCUGGGACCUGAGGGACCUAAACCAAGAAUAUCGUCAUUCACUCAACAGCAAGAAGUUAAACAGGGGUCUAAGUGACCACACUUAUUUGAGAGUCAGAAGGAAGAAAAGAUGGAGGAGGACUCCAGGAACCUCAGGUCAUUUCAGAAGGAGCCACAGGGGAGGUAAAUGUCUCCUUUGUGCUUUGCAGACAAGAGUUUCUGACACAUCUCGGGAAACUCGGGAGAAGUCAGUCUUUGGGCUGCACUUUCAUCCAGGAGGCGGUGUGGGAUGGAUUAAUGGCAACUCACAAUAAAUUAUUUAUCA
rnacentral:lncRNA from 1 species